UACAGAGGUCUCAAGCGUUGUUCGGAUUCAUUGGGCGUAAAGGGUGUGUAGGUGGCGCGCUAAGUCGGGUGUGAAAUUUCGGAGCUUAACUCCGAAACUGCAUUCGAUACUGGCGUGCUUGAGGACUGGAGAGGAGACUGGAAUUUACGGUGUAGCGGUGAAAUGCGUAGAUAUCUGGAGGAACACCGGUGGCGAAGGCGGCAUCCUGGACCAUUACUGACACUGAAUAGCGAAAGCCAGGGGAGCAAACGGG
rnacentral:rRNA from 1 species